AUCUGGGGGAAACCUGGGAGUGCAUUCGGGAACGAGAACCCAGAUGGUGCAUGACCGUUAUCAGCUUGUGUAGUGAGAUGUUGGGUUAAGUGCAGCAACGAGCGCAAUCUUCUUUGUUAGUUGCCAGCAUUUUGGAUGGGCAAUGGAGAGAGCCACCCGGUGACAAUCCUGAUGAAGGUGGGGAGGCAGUCAAGUCAUCAUGCCCCUUAUGUAUUGGUCUACACACGUACUACAAUGAUUAGUACAAAGGGCAUCAAGCGUGCGAGCGCAAGCAAAUCCCUAUAAACCGAGGCUCAGUUUAGUAUUGCAGGCUGCAACUUGCCUGCAUGAAGGAGGAAUUGCUAGUAAUGGCAGGUCAGCAUAGUGCGGUGAAUACGUUCCCGGCCUUUGUACACACCGCCACGUCACACCAUGGGAGUUGGCCACGCCAGAAGUAGUUUCUCUAACCGUUCGCGGAGGAGGGCGCCGAAGGUGGGGGUGAUGAUUGGGGUGAAGUCGUAACAAGGUACCCGUACCGGAAGUCGAGGCCGGAUCACCUCUUU
rnacentral:rRNA from 1 species